rnacentral:rRNA from 1 species
UGCCAGCCGCCGCGGUAAUACGUGUGGGGCAAGCGUUGUUCGGAAUUACUGGGCUUAAAGGGUUCGUAGGCGGCCACUUAAGUCAGGGGUGAAAUCCCACGGCCCAACCGUGGAACGGCCUCUGAUACUGAUAGUCUUGAGUUUUGUAGGGGAUAGUGGAAUUUUUAGUGUUGAGAUAGAAUUCGAACAUAUUAAAAAGAACACCGAAAGCGAAGGCGACUAUCUGGACAAAAACUGACGCUGAGGAACGAAAGCAUAGGGAGCAAACAGGAUUAGAUA